ensembl:lncRNA
AAAAAAAUCAUGAACCUAUUUAUUAUUUGUGGCAUUUUCUUCUCCAUGAUAAGUUCUUGACGUCUGCCUGUUGUUCUUUGCCUGAUUUGAAAUAAUGCCAUGCAAACAAUUCUACCAGAUAUAUCAUCAUCAUCAUCAUCAUCAUCAUCAACAUCAUUAUUAUUAUGACAAUAGAAAAGAAAUAAACAAAAAAAACAGCAACUAAGUACAUUUGCUCAAGUGCAGGUUUGAGUUACUUGUAAUCUGUGCUGUGGAUACAUAUACAUACAGAUACAUAUAUUUUACUAAGAAUGGCAAAGUAUUGUACUUUUUUACUCUGCCACAUCUUACAUAUAUCUACUGCAUAUACGAAACCACCUGAAAACAAUCUACAUCAUAAUUUUCUAUAAUCCAUAAUCUAUAUAAUGAUGUGAUAAGAAAAAGUACAUGAGUAGAAAUACUCAAAGUUUCUACUUGAUACUGUGUGUAGUGAUGAUAUUGUGCAAAAUGACUGAACACAAUAAUAAAAUGAUUAAGUAAAACACAUUUUAACUGAAGUAAACGGAAUGAGAACUUCUGUCACCUCCACCCCCGCUGUCCGGCGUGUGGCGCAGCAGGAUAGACGGCGAACCUGGCAACCCGCUGCGUGCUCCGAUAGGCAGGACCACUCUCCUCCUCCUCCUCCUCCUCCUCCCGCUCCGGGCCUUUUCCAUCCUCCACGUCUCCACACGUCGCCGCAGACGAUCGAACCGUCCGACCGGUUUCACCGCGGGACUGACUCCGGCCACUAGGUGGCGCCGAAACCACAGGAAGAUAGAAGUCACGUGUGUGUGAAGCCUGUGUUCUGUGUCCUGACCAGCAGAGGGCGACUCUGUGAGAACGUCAGUCGACUUCUCACUUGAUUCAUAACCUCAGUAAAACAUUUUCCUGAGGAGUUUAUGGUUCAAUCUCUAGUUUCAAGUCUUCUUCAAUAUAUGAUGAUCAUUUUUUUCCAAAAAAUGAUUUGAAUUCUACCUCAGCUUAAAAAAAAAUGUUUAAAGAAAUAUUUGGGGAAGUCUUGUUUUAGCAGUGCGUCGUCUAAUGUGUGACGGGAACUAUUAAAGUCACAUGGUCUCACGUCAACAUGUCGUCUGUUGAUUUUUUAAUUUUUUUAAUCUGUCAGUGUUGGUCACUGGCACUGACUGUGUGUGUGGUCAGACGUGUGUGUGUGCGGUCGGACGUGUGUGUGCGGUCGGAUCUGUGUGUGUGGUCAGACGUUUGUGUGUGCGGUCGGACGUGUGUGUGCCGGAUGUGUGUGUGCGGUCGGACGUGUGUGAUGAAACGAGGGCGAUGAGAUAAAAAUUGUAUGACAUGUUGUUCUAGAAACAGGGUCAGAAUUACAUAUAACCCUGAACAAGAGGAGGGAGAGUUGACCGACAGGCUCAGUGAAUGUGACAUACACGUGAUGUGACGCAGAACAAAGUGCAAUAAGUAUUAGACGGAAAAAAUGAAACAAUAAAGAAGUGAAAAAUCUGAUUAAUUAAUUUCAGAAAGUUGCAGGAAAACAAAAUGGCGAUUUAAUAAAACUGUUCGAGACUGAGGAAGCUACUGGGAUUUUCUUUUUCCAACAAUAAAAACUUACAAAUGUUCACUAAUCAAAUAUGAAUGUAUGAAUGUACUUUAUGGUGACUGAUGUAUUGUUGAAGAUGCAUUCUCAUCCGUGGCCACAGCAGGUCAGUGUUGGGCCACACACACACACACACACACACACACACACACACUCUAUGAUGCAUAUUGUUUGUUGUGAAUGUGACUCACUGGAUGAAGAAUAAUCGUCGACGUUCUGUUUCAUCGACCUCGACCUCUGAAGCGAGGCCUCUGCAGAACCUGUAUCCUCUCGCACGACCAGGAGGGGGCGACACUGGCAGCAAAAAAAAGAAGUCAGUUACUGUAGAAGUCAGUGAGAUAAAGGACUCUACUGUGUGAUUGACAGCUAAUACUGUCCAGUAGGUGCAGGUUGCAGGUGUAGGUGGACAGGUCCGUCAGGCCACACCCCCUCAGCUGCUCCAAAUAUGGUUACUUCUGGUUUCACAAAUCCAAGAUGGCGCUGAACAAAGUAAUAAACUCAAGGCUUCCAAACCACAACAAACGUUCCACAUAAAGUUUCCCUCGAUGUUAUUUUACGGAGGCACCGUCGCACCGAUACAAAUGUCACUGGUUUAAAGAAAUUAAAAAUAAUCCAGGUUUGUGCUUUUGCUGCCCGACACUGACACAGUCCUGUGAUUCAUAUGUCAUAAUUCAUGGGCCUAAAUUAUAAGAUUGUUUAUGCAGCAUGUGGCGUCAUCGUGGCGUUUUCAGGUUGAUAAAAAAUGAACCGUAAAAAAGACUAAACUUUAACUUCUCAGUCUUGUUUUAGUCUCGGAGGUCGAAAGAAAACGUUCCCUGUGAAAUGAGGCACCUAUCCUGACAAAAUGACUGAUUGGACAUUAUGAAAUAUUAUGUCUUUUUAAAACAGGCCUCCGGGUCACUAACCAGCGUCUCAUUCUGCCAAGUGAUGGACUCCGUUGUCAGUCAACUGAACACGGAUGUUUAGAAACCCGAUCAAUCCAGAAUCUAUUAGUGAUGAUGGAAACGCCGCUCUCUAUUUCUAAUUCUGCUGACAGAUAGAAUUUGAAUGUUUUCAGAAAUGAAUGUU